AUUGAACGCUGGCGGCAGGCUUAACACAUGCAAGUCGAGCGGUAACAGAGAGAAGCUUGCUUCUCUGCUGACGAGCGGCGGACGGGUGAGUAAUGCCUAGUAAUCUGCCUAGUAGUGGGGGAUAACUUGCCGAAAGGUAAGCUAAUACCGCAUACGUCCUACGGGAGAAAGGAGGGGACCUUCGGGCCUUUCGCUAUUAGAUGAGCCUAGGUCGGAUUAGGUAGUUGGUGAGGUAAUGGCUCACCAAGACCGCGAUCCGUAACUGGUCUGAGAGGAUGAUCAGUCACACUGGAACUGAGACACGGUCCAGACUCCUACGGGAGGCAGCAGUGGGGAAUAUUGGACAAUGGGGGGAACCCUGAUCCAGCCAUGCCGCGUGUGUGAAGAAGGUCUUAGGAUUGUAAAGCACUUUAAGUUGGGAGGAAGAGCAGUUAACUAAUAUUUGACUGUUUUGACGUUACCGACAGAAUAAGCACCGGCUAACUUCGUGCCAGCCGCCGCAGUAA
rnacentral:rRNA from 1 species